UACUCGAGUGGCGAACGGGUGAGUAACACGUGGGUGAUCUGCCCUGCACUUCGGGAUAAGCCUGGGAAACUGGGUCUAAUACCGGAUAGGAGCCAUUUUUAGUGUGAUGGUUGGAAAGUUUUUUCGGUGCAAGAUGAGCUCGCGGCCUAUCAGCUUGUUGGUGGGGUAAUGGCCUACCAAGGCGUCGACGGGUAGCCGGCCUGAGAGGGUGUACGGCCACAUUGGGACUGAGAUACGGCCCAG
rnacentral:rRNA from 1 species